AAGGAUCGCAACGUUCAAUGGGUCUUUCUUGGAUGUCCCGGUGUCGGCAAGGGAACCUAUGCUAGUCGUCUCUGUAACCUUCUCGGCAUCCCUCACAUCGCCACCGGCGAUCUCGUCCGCGAAGAGCUCGCAUCCUCUACUCCACUUUCUCGCCAGGUAGUUUCUUUCACUGGAAAUGUAAUGUUUCUGGAUUUGGUUUUACCUCCUAAUUGCUUUUGUCUUUGGUAUCGAGGCUUAUUAAGUCGUCAAUGUGUUCAUUUACCGUUUUUAUUUAAGUAUUUUUUUCACCUCGAUCGAUGCAGCUUUCGGACAUUGUUAAUCAGGGAAAAUUAGUAUCGGAUGAGAUCAUAAUCAACUUGUUGUCCAAGAGACUUCAAGCUGGUGAGGCGAAAGGUGAAUCUGGAUUUAU
rnacentral:lncRNA from 1 species